rnacentral:rRNA from 1 species
GAGGCAGCAGUGGGGAAUAUUGCACAAUGGGCGCAAUCCUGAUGCAGCCAUGCCGCGUGUGUGAAGAAGGCCUUCGGGUUGUAAAGCACUUUCAGCGAGGAGGAAGGUGGUGAACUUAAUACGUUCAUCAAUUGACGUUACUCGCAGAAGAAGCACCGGCUAACUCCGUGCCAGCAGCCGCGGUAAUACGGAGGGUGCAAGCGUUAAUCGGAAUUACUGGGCGUAAAGCGCACGCAGGCGG